UAAGACAGAGGUGGCGAGCGUUGUUCGGAAUUACUGGGCUUAAAGGGCGCGUAGGCGGUGGGACAAGUCUGAGGUGGAAUCCGGGGGCUUAACCUCCGAACUGCCUUGGAAACUGUACUGCUUGAGUUAGACAGGGGAAGGCGGAAUUCCUGGUGUAGCGGUGAAAUGCGUAGAUAUCAGGAGGAAGGCCUGUGGCGAAGGCGGCCUUCUGGGUCUUAACUGACGCUGAGGCGCGAAAGCGUGGGGAGCAAACAGGAUUAGAUACCCUGGUAGUCCACGCCCUAAACGGUGGGCACUAGGUGUGGGAUUCGUAAGGGUUCCGUGCCGAAGGGAAACCAUUAAGUGCCCCGCCUGGGGAGUACGGCCGCAAGGUUGAAACUUAAAGGAAUUGACGG
rnacentral:rRNA from 1 species